CCUACGGGAGGCAGCAGUGGGGAAUAUUGGACAAUGGGCGAAAGCCUGAUCCAGCCAUGCCGCGUGUGUGAAAAAGGUCUUCGGAUUGUAAAGCACUUUAAGUUGGGAGGAAGGGCAGUAAGAUAAUACCUUGCUGUUUUGACGUUACCGACAGAAUAAGCACCGGCUAACUCUGUGCCAGCAGCCGCGGUAAU
rnacentral:rRNA from 1 species